CGUCCCACCCCUAUCGAGGCAGUCACACCUUAAAAAAAAAAAAGGAGGGGUUAUUCCUGCUUUUGCCGUGCUGUGAUCCAGGGCAGAGUUUCUUGUCAACCAGUAAAACAUCCAGUAACACAGCCAAUGGAAAUAAAUGAAUGGGUCUCUGUUUAUAGUGAAGAUUCUUUCGUUCUCCAGCUCCAGGCUUCAUACGGUAAAACUCUCUGGGAAGGAAAGGAACUCAGAGUCCCAUGCAGAAAAUUGUUCAGCUGGAGGGGUAUCAGAAAGAUGGAUUUCCAAAGCCAACUGUUUCCUGUAGUGUGUGGAUCUCUGCAAGCAGAGCCUCAUCUUUCAAUUUCAGCUACAUGAAAGAGGAAGAAAGGGAAAGAUAUAUGUCAUACGUGAUAUACUGUAUGUGGCUUUGAAGACCCCUCUUUUGUGGGGCUACGGCUAAAGAACGUAGUUCCCUGGGAUGGAAUUGGCUCUUCCUAUUUCCCUACUUCAUGAAAACUCCAGUAGAAGACCUUAGAACCUUGUCCUGGUUACAUGGAUAUGUUUACUUUGUGAAAAUUCAUCAAGCACUAUGCACGGUCAUGAUUUGUACAUUUUUUUGUAAGAUAACUUCAUUAAAAUUUACUUUUUUUAUUUUUAAAAA
rnacentral:antisense_RNA from 1 species